AUGUCUGUGAAACUGGUUUGAUGUGAUGCGGUGAAACGAAUGAACUCCUGCAGAGAUGCUGAUCCACGUCUGUGAAACUGGUAAGUUAGUAAUUAUUAAUUUAUUACUGUACUUUAAUUCGCUGUGAUGAAGCUUCUUCCUGCCAUUCGUAGUUUCCACCAGAGGUCGAGAGACCAGUGAUGGCCCAAUCCUUCCUUGGAUGUCUGAGCGAAU